UACGGGGGGGGCAAGCGUUGUUCGGAAUCAUUGGGCGUAAAGGGCGCGUAGGCGGUGCCGUAAGUCUGGUGUGAAAUCCCCGAGCUUAACUCGGGUCCCGCGCCAGAGACUGCGGUGCUGGAGUGUGGGAGAGGAGAGUGGAAUUCCCGGUGUAGCGGUGAAAUGCGUAGAGAUCGGGAGGAAGGCCGGUGGCGAAGGCGGCGCUCUGGAACAUUUCUGACGCUGAGGCUCGAAAGCGUGGGGAGCAAACAGG
rnacentral:rRNA from 1 species